rnacentral:rRNA from 1 species
CCUACGGGUGGCAUCAGUGAGGAAUAUUGGUCAAUGGACGAGAGUCUGAACCAGCCAAGUAGCGUGAAGGAUGACUGCCCUAUGGGUUGUAAACUUCUUUUAUAUGGGAAUAAAAUGUUCCACGUGUGGGAUUUUGUAUGUACCAUAUGAAUAAGGAUCGGCUAACUCCGUGCCAGCAGCCGCGGUAAUACGGAGGAUCCGAGCGUUAUCCGGAUUUAUUGGGUUUAACGGGAGCGUAGGUGGAUUGUUAAGUCAGUUGUGAAAGUUUGCGGCUCAACCGUAAAAUUGCAGUUGAAACUGGCAGUCUUGAGUACAGUAGAGGUGGGCGGAAUUCGUGGUGUAGCGGUGAAAUGCUUAGAUAUCACGAAGAACUCCGAUUGCGAAGGCAGUUCACUGGACUGCAACUGACACUGAGGCUCGAAAGUGUGGGUAUCAAACAGGAUUAGAUACCCUUGUAGUC